rnacentral:rRNA from 1 species
UUUAGAACUAAUAUAAAGUGAAACCUGCCCAAUGGUUCUUAAAUUAAUAAAUCUAAAGAUUUAUAAAAAAACUAAAAGGACGCAGUAUCCUGACUGUGAUAAUGUAGCAUAAUCAUUCGCCAUUUAAUUGAUGGAUAGUAUGAAAGGUCAAACGAAUUCUUCAUUGUCUUAAAAAAAGAAUUCAUGAAAUUAAAAUAAUAGUUAAGAUCCUAUUUAAGAUUGUAAGACGAAAAGACCCUAUAGAGCUUAACUACAUUCUUUUAUAAAAAUAAAUAAUACAAUUAUUUAAUAGAAAGAAAGGUAGUUUAGUUGGGGCGACUAUCUUUUAAAAAAAACAAAGAUAAGCAAAAUUAAUAAAUAAUUUAUUGUAUAAUUCAUAUAUUUAACAAUUACUAAAGUAGGCUAUAAUGACCCGUUUUAUUUAAGUAAAAAAUAUAACGAUUAAUAAAUAAAAGCUACCUUAGGGAUAACAGGAUAAUUUUGUCCUAGAGACCAAAUCGAAGACAAAGUUUGUCACCUCUAUGUUGAAUUAAGAUAUCCCGAUAACGCAGAAGUUAUUAAAGGUAGGUCUGUUCGACCUUUAAAAU